rnacentral:rRNA from 1 species
GGGGGAUAUUGCACAAUGGAGGAAACUCUGAUGCAGCAACGCCGCGUGAGGGAAGAAGGUUUUCGGAUUGUAAACCUCUGUCCUCGGGGACGAUAAUGACGGUACCCGAGGAGGAAGCUCCGGCUAACUACGUGCCAGCAGCCGCGGUAAUACGUAGGGAGCAAGCGUUGUCCGGAUUUACUGGGUGUAAAGGGUGCGUAGGCGGCAGUGCAAGUCAGGUGUGAAAACUAUGGGCUUAACCCAUAGAUUGCACUUGAAACUGUGUUGCUUGAGUGAAGUAGAGGCAAGCGGAAUUCCCGGUGUAGCGGUGAAAUGCGUAGAGAUCGGGAGGAACACCAGUGGCGAAGGCGGCUUGCUGGGCUUUAACUGACGCUGAGGCACGAAAGCGUGGGUAGCAAACA